rnacentral:rRNA from 1 species
GCUUGUCUCAAAGAUUAAGCCAUGCAUGUCUCAGUAUAAGCUUCUAUACGGCGAAACUGCGAAUGGCUCAUUAAAACAGUUAUAGUUUAUUUGGUGGUCAACUCUUACAUGGAUAACCGUGGUAAUUCUAGAGCUAAUACAUGCAUUAAACCCCGACUUCUGGAAGGGGUGUAUUUAUUAGAUGGAAACCAAUGCGGGGCAACCCGGAUUCUGGUGAUUCAUAAUAACUUUCGGAUCGAUCCUCGGAUCGAUGCAUCAUUCAAGUUUCUGCCCUAUCAGCUUUGGAUGGUAGGGUAUUGGCCUACCAUGGCUUUAACGGGUAACGGAGAAUUAGGGUUCGAUUCCGGAGAGGGAGCCUGAGAAAUGGCUACCACAUCCAAGGAAGGCAGCAGG